rnacentral:rRNA from 1 species
CUGCAGUCGAGCGGAACGAGUUAACUGAACCUUCGGGGGACGUUAACGGCGUCGAGCGGCGGACGGGUGAGUAAUGCCUGGGAAAUUGCCCUGAUGUGGGGGAUAACCAUUGGAAACGAUGGCUAAUACCGCAUAAUAGCUUCGGCUCAAAGAGGGGGACCUUCGGGCCUCUCGCGUCAGGAUAUGCCCAGGUGGGAUUAGCUAGUUGGUGAGGUAAUGGCUCACCAAGGCGACGAUCCCUAGCUGGUCUGAGAGGAUGAUCAGCCACACUGGAACUGAGACACGGUCCAGACUCCUACGGGAGGCAGCAGUGGGGAAUAUUGCACAAUGGGCGCAAGCCUGAUGCAGCCAUGCCGCGUGUAUGAAGAAGGCCUUCGGGUUGUAAAGUACUUUCAGCAGUGAGGAAGGUGGUGUCGUUAAUAGCGGCAUCAUUUGACGUUAGCUGCAGAAGAAGCACCGGCUAACUCCGUGCCAGCAGCCGCGGUAAUACGGAGGGUGCGAGCGUUAAUCGGAAUUACUGGGCGUAAAGCGCAUGCAGGUGGUUUGUUAAGUCAGAUGUGAAAGCCCGGGGCUCAACCUCGGAAUUGCAUUUGAAACUGGCAGACUAGAGUACUGUAGAGGGGGGUAGAAUUUCAGGUGUAGCGGUGAAAUGCGUAGAGAUCUGAAGGAAUACCGGUGGCGAAGGCGGCCCCCUGGACAGAUACUGACACUCAGAUGCGAAAGCGUGGGGAGCAAACAGGAUUAGAUACCCUGGUAGUCCACGCCGUAAACGAUGUCUACUUGGAGGUUGUGGCCUUGAGCCGUGGCUUUCGGAGCUAACGCGUUAAGUAGACCGCCUGGGGAGUACGGUCGCAAGAUUAAAACUCAAAUGAAUUGACGGGGGCCCGCACAAGCGGUGGAGCAUGUGGUUUAAUUCGAUGCAACGCGAA